rnacentral:rRNA from 1 species
AACCGAGAUUCCCAAAGUAGUGGCGAGCGAAAUGGGAUGAGCCUUGUACUCUUUAUUUGUAUUGUUAGCCGAACGCUCUGGAAAGUGCGGCCAUAGCAGGUGAUAGCCCUGUAGGCGAAAACAGUAUGAAAGAACUAGGUGUACGACAAGUAGGGCGGGACACGUGAAAUCCUGUCUGAAGAUGGGGGGACCAUCCUCCAAGGCUAAAUACUCGUGAUCGACCGAUAGUGAACCAGUACCGUGAGGGAAAGGCGAAAAGAACCCCGGGAGGGGAGUGAAAUAGAUCCUGAAACCGCAUGCAUACAAACAGUCGGAGCCUCGUAAGGGGUGACGGCGUACCUUUUGUAUAAUGGGUCAGCGACUUACGUUCAGUAGCAAGCUUAACCGUAUAGGGCAGGCGUAGCGAAAGCGAGUCCGAAUAGGGCGUUCAGUUGCUGGGCGUAGACCCGAAACCAGGUGAUCUAUCCAUGGCCAGGAUGAAGGUGCGGUAACACGUACUGGAGGUCCGAACCCACUAACGUUGAAAAGUUAGGGGAUGAGCUGUGGAUAGGGGUGAAAGGCUAAACAAACCUGGAAAUAGCUGGUUCUCUCCGAAAACUAUUUAGGUAGUGCCUCGUGUCUCACCUUCGGGGGUAGAGCACUGUCAUGGUUGGGGGGUCUAUUGCAGAUUACCCCGCCAUAGCAAACUCCGAAUACCGAAGAGUGCAAUCACGGGAGACAGACAUCGGGUGCUAACGUCCGGUGUCAAGAGGGAAACAACCCAGACCGCCAGCUAAGGUCCCCAAAUAUGGCUAAGUGGGAAACGAAGUGGGAAGGCUAAAACAGUCAGGAGGUUGGCUUAGAAGCAGCCACCCUUUAAAGAAAGCGUAAUAGCUCACUGAUCGAGUCGUCCUGCGCGGAAGAUGUAACGGGGCUAAGCCAUAUACCGAAGCUGCGGAUGCGUGCUUGCACGCAUGGUAGGAGAGCGUUCCGUAAGCCUGCGAAGGUGCCUUGUAAAGGGUGCUGGAGGUAUCGGAAGUGCGAAUGCUGACAUGAGUAGCGAUAAAGGGGGUGAAAGGCCCCCUCGCCGUAAGCCCAAGGUUUCCUACGCAACGUUCAUCGGCGUAGGGUGAGUCGGCCCCUAAGGCGAGGCAGAAAUGCGUAGCUGAUGGGAAGCAGGUCAAUAUUCCUGCACC